CACAGAGUUGCGGCCGCGUUGCUCCUGGCGCGUUCUUGGGGGAGCGGUGCAGGCGCCGAGGCUGCGGCUGGGAGUCCUCCGGCCGGUCCCUACCGGGUUGCGUGACGGGUCUGAAAAGGGGGUCUGCACGUUGCUAAGUAGUGUUUCUUGCAGUGGGCUCUCAGGAGUCCUCUGAUGGAGAGCUGACCUAGUCUGUGCUGCCAGACCGAAAGGAACCUUGAUCAGCAAUGCGCGCUUGAGGCGCAGCAGGUAGUGGCCCGGGGGAAUGAGAACCAGGAGGCCCCAGCGCCGACACAACGGUUUCCCAAAGUGGGCAACGGGAUCGCGGGGGCAUUCACGUGGUGUGCAUGGACGGUGUAUCAUGCCAUUUCAUCGAAUACAAAUGGUCAUCUGCUUUCAGAGUUUGGUUCCAGGUGCUGGGGAUACAGAAGUGAACACAACAGACAGGCAGGAUCUGUAUUGUCAUAGUGCUGACCUUUUAGGGUAAACCAACAAGACAGAAAUUGAUGAUCUGAAAUCCAUAAAACAAGGAUCAUUUAAAAAUCUAAGGACUUCCCUGAUGGUGCAGUGGUUAAGAAUCCGCCUGCCAAUGCAGGGGACACGGGUUUGAGCCCUAGUCCAGGAAGAUCCCACAUGCCGCGGAGCAGCUAAGCGCAUGCGCCACAACUACUGAGCCUGUGCUCUAGAGCCCACGAGCCACAACUACUGAAGCCCAUGUGCCACAACUACUGAAGCCCAUGUGCCACAACUACUGAAGCCCAUGUGCCACAACUACUGAAGCCCGUGUGCCUAGAGCCCGUGCUCCACAACAAGAAGCUACCGCAAUGAGAAGCCUGUGCACCACAACAAAGAGUAGCCCCCGCUCGUCGCAACUAAAGAAAGCCUGUGCGCAGCAAUGAAGACACAACGCAGCCCAAAAUAAACAA